AUUGAACGCUGGCGGCAGGCCUAACACAUGCAAGUCGAACGAGUGGCGGGCGGGAGAGAAAUGUAUGGGAAACUUCCUGGUGGAGGGGGAUAACUACUGGAAACGGUAGCUACAACCGCACACCAUCCGCUGUGCCCAGAUGGGAUUAGCUUGUUGGUGGGGUAACGGUUCACCAGGGCGACGAACCCUAGCUGGUCUGAGAGGAUGACCAGCCACACUGGAACUGCGACACGGCCCAGACUCCUACGGGAGGCAGCAGUGGGGAAUAUUGCACAAUGGGCGAAAGCCUGAUGCAGCCAUGCCGCGUGUAUGAAGAAGGCCUUCGGGUUGGAAAGUACUUUCAGCGGGGAGGCGUUACCCGCAGAAGAAGCACCGGCUAACUCCGUGCCAGCAGCCGCGGUAAUUC
rnacentral:rRNA from 1 species